rnacentral:lncRNA from 1 species
UGUGGUUGGACACAAGAAGCUCUGGAUCACGGCCUAAUAGGUGCAGCAUCUCUUCACAGCUUUGCGCACACUUCACACUUCAGCUUCACCUCUUCAUGGAACCGGUUUGAAGUCUCCCCCUCUCAACUGACUUCGCAGCCAUCUUAGAGAAGCUAGGACACGACCAGAUCAUCUUCAAAACACCAGUGAGGCUGAUCAACACUUCACACAUGACCUGCCCUCUUCAUCAACCAGGUUUGGAAUCUCCCCCUCUCAACAGACUUCGCAGCCUCUUUAGAGAAGCUAAGAGAUGAUCCGGAACUGUUUAAUGAGGCUACAAGCAAUGGUACCUGAUACAUUAUCCCAAAGGUGCAUCAGUACCUAUAAAACCAAGAAAAUGAAUAUCCUGCAUCACACUUGAUGCACACAAUCUCACAAUUCAAUCAUAAUCAUUUUAAGCAUCUUUUCAAGCACAAGCAAUGAAUAAGAUGAAUGACAAGGAUUGAAAAGAGUUUUAAAAGUCUAAGGGAACUUCCCUUGU